rnacentral:misc_RNA from 1 species
UUUCCGUAGGUGAACCUGCGGAAGGAUCAUUACCGAGUGAUGGUCUCUCAGGCCUGGCCUCCCAUACUGUUUUUUUUUGAGCUUGUACCUUUGCCUGGUCCGCCUCGAUGAGAGUCCGCCGGUAGAUCACCGCUUCGGUCGCGUUCCCCCCAGUAGCCCCCUUAAAUUCUUAAUAUACCUGUCGCCGGAGUCUAGGUAUUAUAAAAAAAACUGUCAACAACAGAUCUCUUGGUUCUAGCAUCGAAGAAGAACCCAGCAGACCGGAAGAGCACACG